rnacentral:rRNA from 1 species
UACGGAGGGUGCAAGCGUUAUCCGGAUUCACUGGGUUUAAAGGGUGCGUAGGAGGGCAGGUAAGUCCGUGGUGAAAUCUCUGAGCUUAACUCAGAAACUGCCGUGGAUACUACCGGUCUUGAAUAUCGUGGAGGUGAGCGGAAUAUGUCAUGUAGCGGUGAAAUGCUUAGAUAUGACAUAGAACACCAAUUGCGAAGGCAGCUCACUACCCGAAUAUUGACUCUGAGGCACGAAAGCGUGGGGAGCAAACAGG